CCUACGGGUGGCUGCAGUGGGGAAUAUUGGACAAUGGGCGAAAGCCUGAUCCAGCAAUGCCGCGUGAGUGAUGAAGGCCCUCGGGUCGUAAAGCUCUUUUACCAGGGAUGAUAAUGACAGUACCUGGAGAAUAAGCUCCGGCUAACUCCGUGCCAGCAGCCGCGGUAAUACGGAGGGAGCUAGCGUUGUUCGGAAUUACUGGGCGUAAAGCGCACGUAGGCGGCUACUCAAGUCAGAGGUGAAAGCCCGGGGCUCAACCCCGGAACUGCCGUUGAAACUAGGUAGCUAGAAUCGUGGAGAGGCGAGUGGAAUUCCGAGUGUAGAGGUGAAAUUCGUAGAUAUUCGGAAGAACACCAGUGGCGAAGGCGACUCGCUGGACAAGUAUUGACGCUGAGGUGCGAAAGCGUGGGGAGCAAACAGGAUUAGAUACCCGAGUAGUCUC
rnacentral:rRNA from 1 species